rnacentral:rRNA from 1 species
AGCGUUGUUCGGAAUUACUGGGCGUAAAGGGCUCGUAGGCGGCCAACUAAGUCGGACGUGAAAUCCCUCAGCUUAACUGGGGAACUGCGUCCGAUACUGGAUGGCUUGGAUUUGGGAGAGGGAUGCGGAAUUCCAGGUGUAGCGGUGAAAUGCGUAGAUAUCUGGAGGAACACCGGUGGCGAAGGCGGCAUCCUGGACCAAUAUUGACGCUGAGGAGCGAAAGCCAGGGGAGCAAACGGG